rnacentral:rRNA from 1 species
CGGUGGAGCAUGUGGUUUAAUUCGAAGCAACGCGAAGAACUUACCAGGUCUUGACAUCCUCUGACAAUCCUAGAGAUAGGACGUCCCCUUCGGGGGCAGAGUGACAGGUGGUGCAUGGUUGUCGUCAGCUCGUGUCGUGAGAUGUUGGGUUAAGUCCCGCAACGAGGCAACCCUUGAUCUUAGUUGCCAGCAUUCAGUUGGGCACUCUAAGGUGACGCCGGUGACAAACCGGAGGAAGGUGGGGAUGACGUCAAAUCAUCAUGCCCCUUAUGACCUGGGCUACACACGUGCUCAAUGGACAGAACAAAGGGCAGCGAAACCGCGAGGUUAAGCCAAUCCCACAAAUCUGUUCUCAGUUCGGAUGCAGUCUGCAACUCGACUGCGUGAAGCUGGAAUCGCUAGUAAUCGCGGAUCAGCAGCCGCGGUGAAUACGUUCCCGGGCCUUGUACACACCGCC